GAGGUGAGGUAGACAGGAUGAAGUGGAGAAACUCGCCAUUAAGCAGACCCCUACGUCCAAGCAUCAUGAAUCUCAACUCCAAUCCCAGAAGCCGGAUUCCCAAGCUUCAAGAGUCCAUAACAGAUUCCUGCUUCAAGAGUUUCUUGAUCCUCCAGACUCCCCAGGCCAGCCCAGCCAAGGGGUAAUGAAGUGCUGGAGUUUGAGAAGUGGCUGAACUCUUUCCACAAAAACAGACACCGUAACCGUGGGUUUAAUCUCUCCUCCAAAACAGCGAUUAGGCAUCAGUGGUUCUACUGCUCUCGGGAAUUUCCUCGACAGACCUAAUGACAUUGGAGACCAUAAGGAAAAAGUCCUAGCAGCUUCUGAGCAACCUGAAGAUUUGUCCUGGGGUCACCGACUGCCUUCUGUUAACUACAGCUGAUCAAUAUUGUUCAACAAAUUAGGAAAGAUGGAAAAAAUGGCGGGUACGUCACUUUGUUGGGAGGAGAGAAAAGGUUUAAAUCUCCAUGUCUCUACAGUUCUAGGAAAUGUUUUCUGC